CAGUCGCCGCGGUAAUACAGAGGGUGCGAGCGUUAAUCGGAUUUACUGGGCGUAAAGCGUGCGUAGGCGGCUUCUUAAGUCGGAUGUGAAAUCCCCGGGCUUAACCUGGGAACUGCAUUUGAAACUGUCAGGCUGGAGUCUUGUAGAGGGGGGUGGAAUUCCAGGUGUAGCGGUGAAAUGCGUAGAGAUCUGGAGGAAUACCGGUGGCGAAGGCGGCCCCCUGGACAAAGACUGACGCUCAGGUGCGAAAGCGUGGGGAGCAAACAGGAUUAGAUACCCCAGUAGUCCCUGUCUCUUAUAC
rnacentral:rRNA from 1 species